AAUUCAGGGUGCCAGCUCCAGGAGAAGGCUUUCUCUCUCUUUUGGCUCUGGAGGAAGGUCCUUCUCAUCAGUCUUCCCCUGGACUAGGAGCUUCUCCGCACAGGAACCCCAGGUCCGAAAGAUGCUCUCUGCUCCUGGCACUGCUUUCUUGGUGGUAUGAGGUCCCCAUCUCUCAGCUAGCUUCUCUCUUUUAUGUCUCAAAAGAGAAGUGCCUCAAGACGUGAUCCAACCUAGUAGAUUGAGUCCUGCCUCACUAACACAGCUGCUGCCUAUCCUACAUCAUUAACAUCAUAGAGAUAGGAUUUACAACACAUAGGAACAUCACAUCAGAUGACGAGAAGUGGUGGACAAUCACACAUGAUCUAGCCAAAUUGAUACGCAUAUUUUUAGAGGACACAAUUCAAUCUCUGACAACUGGGAAUCAUGACCUAGUCAAGUUGACAGAUAUUUCUGAGGGACACAAUUCAAUCCAUGACACCAGGAAACAUGCAAACCCCAAAAGGAGUUUUCUGGCUUACUCCAAGCAUGGGGAUAAGCAGGUGGCUGAGAACCCUUACAAUUUCUGGGGAAACAAUCUUUCCAAAGUUUCACAACCUAACUGAGUAAGAACCACAUUUGUGUGAAGGCAUCGAGAAAGUGGUUUUGUCAGGGUUGUUUUUCUAGGAGCCAAAAAAUAUUUGAAAGUGGCCUGUGUAAUUGUGAAUCAUGCAACUGUGGGCCCUGACUACCUAAGUGGUCCACACUCUAGCAGAGCAUAAGGUGUGACACAGUUUUAAACCCAGAGAUAUUCUCCUUAAAAAACUCCUCUGCUUCCCUAAUUUGGUACCUAUUUUGGGAAAGUAGACAGUCAAGGACAUUUUGGGCAUCAAAAGGGUUCUACUUUCCUCUCUCGUCUACUAAAAUGUAGUUUUUGUCAUCUUCUCGAAAAGGUCAUUUUAAGUUUCAGACAAAACCAAAAACAAACAAGAAAAAAAACACCAAAUAGAAGUCCUAUGGGAAUGGGAGCUUUGACAGAGAAUUGGUGGCAGCAGCGACCUGGACUUUGCCUGCAUCUAGAGAUGAGGGAGCCAUAGAGCAGUACGUCCCCCAGGCCCUUUUCCAACAGUGUUUAUACGCUUUCUCUGCAACAACCCACCAGCAGAUAUUCCAUUCUAAGCCCUUCACAGGACAGGGUUUAUUUGAUUUUUUUCCCCCAUCCCUAUGGGAAGAGUUCCUUCCCGAUUUUGAAGCUUAGCAACCGCGAAGAAAUGUGACCUCAAGGCCACAUAUAGAUUAAAUCUCGACAAGGUCACAUAUAGAUUAGAACCCAGUAAAACCUGAUGGCUUGCCGCAGCACGACUGUGUGGGAAACUCACAGUAUGACAACUGUGGCCUGAUAAUUCUACCACAGUGUCAAAGGAGGUCCCAAGGGAAAGUGAAUGGGGCUUAGCAGCAGCUAACAUCAAGAGGCUCAGAGUUGCAGCACUAAUUCCCCUGGGGUGGGAGCUUGAGCCGAGUGGGUGUCAAGUGGCUCUGGCAACUGUGUCCCUUUAAAUGUUCCCCUCAGGAUCAGGUUGAAAAGGGGGAAGCAGGGCAGGAGCAGCAUUAUGACUUUACACAGGGUGCUCCCCACGCAGCCACUAAUUGGCUUACUCUGUUCAGAUUUCAUUCAGGCAGCAGCUUUCCGUUUCUGUUCUGUUGUCUCUGAGGGGGUUUCCCAAAUUAACCUUCUCUAAGCUUUCUUGUGUUCUUGAGGGACUGUUUCUGAGGGCUGGCGGGGAAUUUCCCUCUUUUGACCAACUUGUUGUCUGAGUGAUGUAUGGCUGAUCUGCAUCUGGGGAUUUUCUCACUGGCAUUUUGCUACUUCCUGUUUCCCAAGAGUCUCUGCUUUUUGGGAACUGAAGAGUUAUUAAGACAAGGAGACAGACAGGCUUUAGGAAAAAGGGGAGGGGUUGUAUUUAAUACACUGGCGCUUGUCUUCCACUCCUCUCAUUCUUUGCGGCAGUGAUAUUGCAUUUGAAGAUUAGAUGCAGGGACUUUGAGAGGGGCUUUGGGUUGAUCACAGUAAACAUUCCACGGGAACUUGGAUUUCACAGUGUCUUAGUAGUGCUGCUAUAACAGAAAUACCACACAUAGAUGGCUUUAACAGAGAGAAAUUAAUUUUCUCACGGCAAAGUGGGCUAAAAGUCCAAAUUCAGGGCAUCAGCUCCAGGGGAAGGCUUUCUCUGUUGGCUCUGAAGGAAAGUCCUUGUCAUCAAUCUUCACCUGAACUAGGAGCUUCUCCGCACAGGAACCCCGGGUCCAAAGGACUCACUCUGCUCUCGGCACUGCUUUCUUGGUGGUAUGAGGCCCCCAACUCUCUGCUUGCUUCCCUUUCCUUUUAUCUCUUGUAAGAUAAAAGGUGGUGCAGGCCACACUGCAGGGAAACUCCCUUUACAUUGGAUCAGGGAUGUGACCUGAGCAAGGGUGUUACAUCCCACCCUAAUCCUCUUUAACCACAGGCAGAGAUUAUGAUUUAUAACACCUGGGAAAAUCACAAAAUGCAGGACCACCACACAAUACUGGGAAUCAUGGCCUAACCAAGCUGACACAUAUUUUUGAGGGACACAAUUCAACCCAUGACACCCAGCAUAACCACAAAUCACAUAAAUGGUUGGUUUAAUACAGUAUCUCCCCUGUAUGUGGGAUGGAUAGAAACUCCUGUGCUAAAAGAAACCAUUUUCUCCUUUUACUUAAUGAUGACACGUACGUGUCUGUGUGGUGCUAGGUGCUUUGCAUGCAGGUUCUCAUGUGAUCCUUGCAACAACCCAGAGAAGUAGGCCUUGUUAGGCCCUGUUUUACAGAUGAGCAAACUGAGGCUCUGAGAAGUUAGGUAACUUGGUGCAAGUCUGGCUGUUAUUGGGCAGAGCUCCAGUUCUGUGGGACCCUUUGCUCAUAUUCAUUCUGCUACAGAUUUGUAGCAAAUUUGGGAUUCAAUUCAUAGGACUUUUAGGCGCCUUCACCAGCAAAAUAAAAAGCAGCCUCUAAAGACUAGGGGUGAAAAUACUUCAGGAAGCGGAUUGGCAGUUCUUAGCUAGGUCAUGCUUGGCAAUUCUUUUUGUACACCUGUCAGGCCCUUUCGCUCUGUGUUCACAAUUUUAGCAACACCUGGCAGCAGCUGCUGACCUGGAAAUUGAUAGAAACCAAUAUAUCAAAGAAGCUUCAAUCAAACCAAUUAUUUAGUCUCUUAGCAAACCUUCCUAUCUAACCACUGCUCUCGCCUUCCUAUUCCCCACCCUAGCUUUAAACAUUUUAUCACAACUCUUAGUAGUGACCCCCCUGUGGGUAAGUCCUAGAAUCUUUCUGGGCCUGCUCUGUUGAGAUUUAUAUCCCAAGGAAAAUAAUGUUCCAGAAUUGCCCUACGUCCCCGGCUCUCAAUUAUUCUCGAGUCAGAUGUGUGUGUGUGUGUGUGUGUGUGUGUUCUUGUGGUGCGAGGUUCUCAGGGGGAUAGACUAUUAGCCACAGCUGACCUUUGCAAAGUUCUUCAAGUGUUUUCAGUUCCUCCAGAGAAGCCGUUAGCACAGGGUGACAGUGCUGGGACAGCCCCGGGACUGAUGAGAGAGUUGCUGGGUGUUCUCAAGGACAGGACCUGCAUCAGCUACGUGGCUGCCCCUGUGCCCACUGCACAUUCGCUGCAGCCCUUCUGUCCACCAUCCGUCUAGGAGGGGUCCUACGCAUUGUCUCCUCAUCCAGUAACUCUGAUGGCCACCAACUGUCGGCAGUUCACUAGUUGCCAAGUGAUUUUACCUGCAUUAACUCAUUGGAUCCUGUGAAGGAUCCAUCUCCAAGGUAGGAAGCAGAGGUGGUUGAGAAGGCAGUGUACCAAGCACUCAAUGGCCGCUUCAUGACACGAGAUAGAUACACAGCUGCCAUCAAGCCUGCUCCAACAAAGGAUGACCACACAUACAAAAGAACAAAACGUCUCCCAGUCCUGUGUCAUGUUCGUAAUCACUGGCAUGUUCAAAUCCAUUGUGGCAGCUAUUGUGCCAAUCCAUCUCACUGAGGGUCUCCCAUGCGCUUGUUGGACCUCUACUUCACUAAACAUGAUGUCCACCUCCAGCAACUGAUCCCUUCUGACGACAUGUCCAAAGCAAGCGAGUCAGAGAAUGCUCUGCUGUCAUCCAUAAGGUUUUCAUGGCUAAUUUUCAGAAGCAGAUUUCCAGGGUUUUCUUCCUAAUCUUUCUUAGUUGGGAAGCUCUGCUGCAACCUAUCCACCAUGGGUGACCCUGCUGGUAUUUGAAGUACCAGUGGCAUUGCUCCCAGCAUCACAGCAGCAUGCAAGCCAUCACUACAACAAAUUGACAGACCAGUGGUGGUCAUGGCAUAAAACUCUGACCAAAUGUCCCCAAAACAUCAGGAACAGAACCAAAAGGGAGAGUUCCACACUCUUCUCUGGUAAAGCCUUUCCUUAUUUAUGUGAGUCUCUGAGGUAACGUGGGGAUCCAAUAAUAGGGGAAGAGGAAGGAAAUGGAUCCCUCACUCCUCGUUUCCACACAUUUGAACUCCAUGCAAGGCAUUUUAGGCCCAGGGAAGAUAAAUUGUAAUAUGAAAACUCAUAGAGAAGUCAUCUUCUUUGGAAAGGCAGACAUUUGAGGCAUUCCCCUCGACCCUUUUAUUUUUUGUCAGGAAGCUUUCAAGAGACCCUACAAGGAAUCCGGCCGUUCAGCAUUUCUCAGCAGAACAACAUUAUCUGUCAUUGUUCUUGGUGUUCAAAGAUACUUCUGGAAAUGAUGUUACUAUUCCUGUGUAUGAGUCUGGCAGAGAGCCCUAAGAUGUGACCUAAUUUCCAAAUAGCUUGUCCUUCUGGCGAGCAGCUAUUUGUAAAACCUGCUGUAGUUUAUGACUCUACCCUAUAGACUUUGAGAAAAUAGUCCGAAGGGCAAAGGAGAUUGCCACCUGGAAUAGAUCAAGUGACUAGCUGACUUUUUUAGAACAAGAGCUCAUGCCCAUUAUCUGAAGAGAUGAUAUAGAAACCAGUGUACUCUCUUCUUUCUGAAAGAAGGGUCCUAAAAGCCUGGAAGUGGAAGAUCACUAGAUAGUUUGCAGUGAACUCAAGACGGGUACAUCUUGGUAUAUUUAUAAGUAUGCUGCCUGGGGAAAGAAUGUUUAUGUAUGGGCCUGUCUUAUCCCUUCUAUCCUAAGUGGAUCUUGAAAGUUAAAUUAUCGCGUUAUGCUUAUCAGGGAAGGCUGCUUCAUAGAAAAGGCAUUUUACUAAGCUCUUGAGACUGUUGCACACUGAUCAAAUGACAGAUGGCGUUCAGCUUUCACGAUGUAGGAGUGCUAAAAGAAUGUAGGGUCACUGUGAAGCCAUGGAAAAAUCAUAGAGUAAAAUAUGGUGCAAGUUGUUAUACGCUUGACAAAAGAAGAAGAGGUACUAGGAAAAUGAUUUCAGCCACCAAGAGAGGAAAGACAACUAAAAUAAAAACUGAUGACACUUGAAUUUAGCUGUGAGAUGUUGGGUAGGCCACAGUGCAGUGUCUCUAGGCCUUACUUCACAUCAGAUGAGAGGUUCUAGGUGAUCUUUAAGGUCCCACCUGGCUCUCUAUCUCUAACUCACUUACUGAGUGCUAACUUCUGGCUAAAAGCACCAUGAGGCUAAAUAUUUCACAUGUAUUAUCAGCUCAUCUCUAGGAGGCUUUUGUUUUGUUGUCAUCUCCACUUUAUAGAAGAAGAAACUGAGGUUCAGAGAGCUUAAGAAACCAGGCCAAGCUUAUACAGCUACUGGGAGGCAAAGCUGGGAUUCAACCCAGGCGAUCUGAGGCCGUAGCUAAUGUUUUUAAGCUUUACAGUGUAUUGUCUUUAUACUCUUAGGAAUUUUAUGGGUAAAGAAGGAAAGAAUAUCUUAUCUGUUCCUUCCUUAGAAAAUCAAUUGCAAGAGAGGAUUCUUCAAAAUAUUUGUUAUGUCCUCUCUUUUCUAAUUCUUGCCAUACUGGAGUUUGAUCCUGAAAAAGGUAGCUGUCUUAACUGGUGUCAUAAUUUAAUGUGAAAGAAUUUACGGCAAAGAUGAGCAGCACACACCUUUCUCCUACCUUGCUCAGCUCACUUAGCUGCAGGUACUGAUUACUUUUCCAGGUCUGGCCUGCCCAGCUGAGCGCCCUCUGACCAGGGAAGGCUGUUGAAAAGUAGCCACACAAGUGUUAGGUAGUGGCAUCCAGGGCUCAUGUUCCUGUCCUAAACCUGAGAUUCUGAGAGUCUGGGGAAGUACUGGUCUGCAGACUGCAGCUUCCUCCCUUCCUCUUCCAACACAUUUUCCCACGCCCACAUGCCUGGUAUUGGGCAUAUUUUCCUGGCUUGCACAUUGUCUUGCCUCCUGAGACUAGAGUUCUGUCUCAAAGACCAUCCUGCUGGGUAGGGUUAUCACACCUUCCCUAGCCCUUGGAAGGAGCCCUCAUGUCUCAACAGUUAAAUGCUUGGCUGCUAACCAAAAGGUCAGAGAUCAGAACCCACCAGCAGCUCAGUGGGAGAAAAGACCUGGCAAUCUGCUCCUGCAAAGAUUCCAAAAACCAAACAAACCAUCAAGUUGAUUUUGACUCAUAGCCACCCUGUGGGACAGAGCAGAACUGCCCCAUGAGGUUUCCAAGGCUGUACAUCUGUAUGGAAGCAGACUACCACAUCUUUCUCCCACAGAGCAGCUUGUGGGUUCAAACAGCCAACCUUUGAGUUAGCAGCCACACGCUUUAACUACUGCACCAUCAGGGCUCCUUUUAAAAUCCUGUAAAGAUUACAGCCUAGGAAACCCUAUGGGGCAGUUCUACUGAGACACAUGGGGUCACUAUGAGCCAGCAUUGACUUGAUGGCACCAACAACACCAACUUGCACUUGGAGGCAGUGUGGCAAAGGGCGGUGGUGGGGUGCCACUGUAACGAUUUUUGCGUAUCUGCAUCUCACCUGUGUAUACUCUUUCUUUAAAUGGACAUAUUUUUAAAAAUAAAAAUUAAUUUAAAAAAAGAAGACUUCAAAGAAGUUAUACAGUUUUAUGUUUAGGUUUCUGAUCCAUUUUUAAAUAGUUUUUGUAUAUGGUGAUUGCAUAUUGAUAUCCAAUCUUUCCAGCGCCAUUUAGUGAAAAGACUAUCCUUUCUCCGCUGAGCUGCGUUUGCAUCUUUAUCUCCUUCGUUGGAUGUUAGGUUGAGUUCUCUGUUCUCCUAGUUGUUAGCUGGGGAGCCAAAAUAUGGGCUACCACCCACCUGUCUUCAACUACUACUUCUAGGAGGUUCCUGCUGCCCAUCUAUUAGCUUAGAGACUAAGUUUGCUAUGUCUUUGGAUAUUUAGCAGUUUCGUGAUUUAUUCUCUUAUUGACCUCUCUUUGGCCACUUCUACUUAGUGAUACAACCUCCCCCUUUUUUGAGGGUUUACCAAGUGCCCAGCACUACCUCUGCCAACUCCCCCAUGUUUUCUCCUUUUCCAACCUACCCUUGAUGUCCCAAAGGUUUCAACUUACAAAAUGAAUUUUUUAGUGGGUGGGAUAAGGUAGUAGAAGAUUUGAAUUUCGUGUAGGAGAAAUGAGUGAUUAAACAUAAAACAGUGUCUCUAUCGACAUGUCCAGUUCAGGAUUCACUAUUGAAGGAUUCUUGUAAACAAUGAGUUAUUUCCCUCCUGUGAUUCCUGUUUUGGGGUAGGACCAAACCGUGUAUGUACUAUCCCAUAUAUGUACAUGCAAAGGCACAAAUACUGACUCAAAAAGACCCACAUACGCAGAUGUCUGGAAUUUUUUUUUUUGCUUGUAGCUGUGAGUUCUAUUCUAGUUUAUUUACAGACAUAUUUUUAUAAUUAUGCUAUUGGGGAAAAUUUCUAAAUUAUAGGCUCAUAGAGUUACAAAGGAUCCUAAGGGAUCAUCCGAGUCUGCUGUCAUCCCUAAUGAAUUGAUGGUGGCAGCUUGGAGUAUUGCAUUGAAAGAUAUUGCCAGGCUGAGUUCAAUACAGCAGGAAAAAGGGUGGUCAUUGAUUAGUCAUGCCUGCUGUGGGUGAGAGUGGUGCCAUGGACACGGUGUAUUACUGACUCUAAUCUAAGAUGAGGCUACUCUCUUUUCUAGGGCAAUAACCUCUUCUACACUGUCAUUGGCAGCUGGCUUCUAGCCGCUGCAGGAAUACUUUCAGUAAUCAUGAACACAUAUAUUGAGCCCAAAAUCUGUCUCAUUGCAACUUCCAAUUAUUUGUCCUAACUCUACCAAUGGGAAUUGCAUAGACCAUGUUUAUAUCCUAUUCCGCAUCACAGCCCUUCAAAUACCACAAGAUAGCUAUUAUGUAAUCUCUUCUCCUAAAUAAAUAUCACCAUCUCUUUCAACUGUUGUCCAGAUAUUGUGGUUUCUGGAUCUCACACCAUCUUGGAUUUUAUUUAACUUUUCCUUGCUCCCUUUCAAGUGCACUGCCCAAAAAGGGACAGCAAAUUUCAGAUAGGAUCUGACUAGCUAGAGUUUAAUGGAACUCUUUUCACGUUGGCUUAAAUGUACUUCUGUCAAUAAAUUUCAGUUUAUACCUAAACCAUGCCAUUUGGCUAUUUCAUAUUGAGCUUUCAAGGAAUAAAAAAUUCCCAAAUCUUAUUUUGUAUGAACUGCUUAAUUCAGUUCUUUUCUGAGUUCAUAUUUGAAUUUUAACUUUUAAAUUAUAUCUUCAUAAUAAUUGUCUAUCCUUUAGUGUCUGUGCUGGGUACUCUACUUGUGUUUUCUUUAAUUUCUAUAAAGUAGAUAUUCUAUUCCCAUUUUGAAGUCAUGAAAACUGAGACUCAGGGAUGCCUCCGGUCACACAGCUAGUAAUUUGCAGAGCCUGGAAUCAAAUCCAGUCCUGUCUGGCUCUACAGUACAGUCUCUGCCCGAUUUUUGUGGUUUUCAAUCAUCUUUCCACCCAAACCCAUCCAGUGCCAUCGAGUCGAUUCCAACUCAUAGCGACCCUAGGACAGAGUACACAUAAGAGAUAAUUUUGAAUCCUGAAUCCAUCGCAGAAGAAAAAAAUUUUAAAAAAGGUAGCAGAAGAUAGGUUGUCCUUUUGUCAAGAUAUAUUUGGUUUUUGGCAUUCUGAUGUAUUAGCGAAGCACUUCAUUUAAAUAAAUAAAUAAAAAGGAAAUAAACUUUGUCUUGUCCAGUGCCUAGUGAACGCUUUUUGGUUCCUAGUGCUCAUUUUAAGUGCUCACUAGCUGUCUGUUGAACUAUUCAAGCUAAGGCUUUGUUGCAGAUUGAUGUUAAGUUUAUCAGUCUCUAAUUUCCGGAAUCCGUGUGUACUACUGGGACAUUUGUUUGUGUCCUUUGUCUGGCACCUAUCCUACUUUCCACACCAUCUCCUGGGCUGCUCACUGUGGUUCUAGUCUUACAGAUGCAUGUUUGAUCCCCUCUUUGGGAUGGAAGUGGGGUGGGGAAGGGUUUGCCCUCAUUUAAAGUAGCUAAGUGCUUUUAUGGAAACCCUAGUGUUAUAGUGGUUAAGUGCUACAGCUGCUAAACAAAAGAUUGGCAGUUCAAACUCACCAGGCACUCCUUGGAAACUAUGGGGCAGUUCUGCCCUGUCCUGUAGGGUCGCUAUGAGUCGGAACUGACUCGAAGGCAACGGCAACGGGUUUGGCUUUUGUUAAGUGAUUUUACACUAUUCCCCCUCCUGUCUUAUGUCUUAUUCUUUGGUCUCCCCACCCCCAGCCCCCAGCACUGUUAUUUCUCCCCUUUCCAAUUGGUAGGUUAGAAACAGAGUCUCUCUCUUAAUGGAGAGAUUAAUGGAAUGGAUGUACUCCACGAAGUUUCCAGUAAUUUCUGUUCAGUGAAUUCUAAAGUGAACUCUCUGGCCCCAACAACAACAAAAGACAGCAAAUCCACUUCCUAAAACUCCCACCAUGCGUUAUGAAUCAAUUAAAUGCUUUUUUAGAUGACCUGUGCUGGGAAAUCUCGCUAUUAAAAAAGAUAAUAAUAGUCAAAUAUGAGUUUUAGUAUGUACAGUUAACCGCCAACUAAAUCAUAGACUGUAUACAUUUUAAAAGUUUUUUUGUUUUGUUUUGUAGUUUCUAGCCUAUGGCAUACACUGACACAGACACAAAAGUCAUAAAUUAGACAGGUAGAACGUAGAACGUGCACAAAUUAAAAAACUUGCACACGACUAUUCGUGAGAAGAAUGAGUCCUCACGCGGAUGUAUAACUGGGUAAUAGUUAUGAAGUACUUAAUACCCGGCUACAAGCCUACUCUCAGUUGUUUCCAUGCUUCCAAGUGCUAGAAAGAGAGCCUGGCUGUGAAGCACCAGUAAUUGCACGUUGUUUGUGAGGAGGGACAUCGAAAGCCUGGAUAAAUUACACAAAGCAGCGAGCUCCCUUUAUAAACUUGACCUCGCCUAGCUUAGCAACGACGCUCUUCGGUUUGCAAGCUCUGACAAAGCCUGACUCCCUCCUUCCUUCUUAUCCCCUAUCAGGAAACCCAUUCGGCCCCUUUAAUUCUUUUCAAAUCCCCGGCGCGAGCUCCAGGCAACUCAUGAAUAUUCAGCAGGGGGCGUGGCCCGCCUGCGUGCGCGGCUCCGGGCAGCUGGGACCGGCUGAAAGGGCGCGCCAGCUGCACGCCGGGGAAACAGUUCUCAUUUUGUGGGCUCCGCUGACAAGCUGUCCAGCCUCGAGGCGGCCCGAGACCGCCACAUUGUGCGUGUGUGGGAGGGGCUUUGCCAAGACGGAUGGAUUUUUCUGAGGCAAAGCCUCGGAGCUGUAAUUUGAAAAAAGAGGGGCCCCAAAUCUCCCUGCCACCCACCUGCCAGGGCAUGUGAAAUUCCAUUGAUAAAUUCACGCAUUAUGCUCUCCAGGAGUUUGUCCCUUUUUAAGAAAACAAGUGUCCCUUGUGUGAAUAAUUAGAGGCUUUUUAUCUUUUGGUGACACCUCCUCCCUUGCAAUUCUCUCCGGUGGAGACUGUUUCUCCUACAUUCUCUGGCUGCUCACAAGUGCUUCUCACGUUUGUUUUAUAACAUCAGGCGGUUUUGUCUCUAUCUCCCAUCUGCCCCGCCCCCAGUGAGCCUGGAGUGGGAGCUGGGAUGCAGCUGAGGCGGGAGCGCCAGGGGGGAAGCAUGGGACCGAAGCUGUUUGGGGAAGGAUCAGGCAGUGUCCAGAGGAAGUGAACUUAGCACCACAGCAAACUUUUUUGCUUGUUUGCUUUUAGUUGUGAGUCUCAGGUGCUAAUAUGAACACCACUGAUUCUUAAAGCAAUAGGAACCUUAGACCGGUCCUGGGAGCAGAAGGUGGACCUUUACUUGGGAUGACUUAGUUUGAGAUGUUUGAGCUCUAGCGUUCUCAACUGACCACAUCUUUUUGGCUUUGCGGUCAUCCAUCCCAUCUUUAAACUCCAACUAAAUUCGUGAACUAUCCUCAUGAUGGCAGUCAGGCUUUUGACCCCACUCAGUCCUUCUAGACAGUUAUGUUGGUUUUGGCUUUACUUACAUGUCUGUCUUUCCUGGCGCUGUCUACCUACCCUCUCCUCACCACUCCAUUGCCAAUCUUCUUUCAGUUUCCUAAACGUGUUGUGAUGGAGAGAAUGCUGUGUGCUCACCACCUCAUUUUGUCUCCUGGGCAAACGAGAAGACAUUUCCCAGUCCCUUUUGCAGUUAGUUUGGAACAAUGACCAAGCUUCUGACAAUAAAGAAGUGAGCAGAAGAGCUAUGCACUUCCAGUUCAAGGAAGAUAAGAGGGGAUCUGAGUUCUUCAUAGUCAUUCUGUUUUGUCCAUAUGCCAGGCAGUGCAGGACUCUAAGACAGAGAGCUGCAAGAUGGAAGCAAACUGGAUCUUGAGCUUCUGUUGCAGGCAACCUGCUCACUGACAUCAAAAAAGUUUUUUAGUGAGAGCAAUUCACUGAGAUUAAAGGGUGUAGUGGGUUGAAUUUUGUCCCCCCAAAAGAUAUGUUCAAGUCCUAACCCUCGGUAUCUGGGAAUGGGACCUUGUUUGGAAAAAGGGUCUUAGUAGAUGUAGUUAAGGUAAGGCUCUCUAAAUGAGAUCAUCUUGGAUUAGGUUGGGACCUAAAUCCAAUGGUGGGUGAGCACCCAUAGAGACACAGAAGGGAAGACCAUGCGAAGACAGAGCCUGGGACUGGAGUUAUGCAACUACAAGAGAAGAAAUGCCAAGGGUUGCCAGCAGUCACCAGAAGAAGCUAGGAGAGAGGCAUAGAACAGAUUUUCCCUCAGAGCUUCCAGAAAGAACCAGUCCUACUGAUACCUUAAUUUUGGACUUCUGGGCUCCAGAAUGUGAGAGAAUAAAUUUUUAUUGUUUUGAGCCACCAAGUUUGUGGUAAUUUGUCAUGACAGCCCUAGGAAACUAAUUGUUGUUAGUUGCUGUCAAGUACACUGAAAAGUUGCUUGGACCUGUGCCACCUUUGUGAUCAUUCAUGUGUUUGAGUACAUUGUUACAGCUAUUGUGUAGUUUUUUCCAACUUAGGGGGCUUAUCUUCUAGCACUAUAUUGGGUAAUAUAUUCUGUCAUGAUCCAUAAGGUUUUUAUUGGCUAAUAUUUGAAAGUAGAUUGCCAGGCCUUUCUUCCUAGUCUGUCUUAGUCUGGAGUCUCCACUGAAACCUGUUCACCAUGGGUGACACUGCUGGUAUUUGAAAUACUGGUGGCAUAGCCUCUAGCACUGUAACAGGCAAGCCACAAUGAUAUGACAAAUUGACAAAUGGGUGGUAGAGGAAACUAAUACUUGGAGUUUAUUUGUUACCUUGGCAUAGCCUGUCCUAUCCUGAUUAAUAAUACACAUGUCAUGUUCUUUCUCAUCUUGAUGCCCCUACUGUUACAUUUUGCCACUUGGAUCUCCUCCUUGCUACUAUCCUCGGAUUCUCCACUGUGCUCAGAUUUCUGGCCUAAGUGAUUGGUUGAAUCUUGGUCCCGGUAAGAAAAAUGAGAAAGGAGGAAGAGGAAUACAUAUUGCAGAAAAGAGGAGCUUUGUACUGGGCACACUGAGUUUGAGAAUGGGACAUCAAGGCAGAGAUGUCCAGAAGGCAUUUGGAUAUAUGAGUCUGAAGCUCAGGAGAGAGGCUUGAGCUAGAGGUAGAGGGUUGGGAGUCAUGAGCAUGUAGGCAAAAGUGGACAAGAUCACCCAGGGAAAGUAAAUAAAUAAGGAGAAGGCGGAAAGUGGAAAGAUGGAACUUAGUGGCAUACCAACAUUUAAAGGAAGGCAAAGGAAGCAGUGCCCAUACAUAUAAACUUCACUUACUUCAUAGGGUUCCCCUUGGCCAUUCGGGAUCGAUCAUGAAAUCUGCGAACCCAGGACUAGUUUGUGGAUCAACAUUUACAAAUGUAAAUUUUAAUUUUGAAGAAAACAGAGUGCUGUGCAAUUGCUGCUGCUGCGUAGACAUGGACAUGUCUUUGAAGCAACUGGUGUUGCCAUGCAAAUCUCUUGGUUGCUAUGAGAUGGUGGCGUUCCUCUGCCCUGCUAUUGGCCGGUGCCUCCUCUGCUGUGGGCUUCUCACUCUGGCGACUGACACCGAGCUGUUACUAUGGUGAACUCUACAAUUUCCUUUGAUUGGCGGAUUUCAGAAAUAGGUCAUCAGUGGAAUUCAUUAUAUUCAGGACUAGAACUGCCGGCUGGCCUACGACACAGCCCCCCACUUUGUCCCAAGAGUGAUGGAGGCUUCAUGCUAUCAUUUGUGUCUCAUUUGUAUUCCAUUCAUGUAUCUCUGGGGAGAGGGCCCUUUGAGAUUUCUUCUGGCUCUGCUUCAAACUCCAUAAUAGCAAUGGAUCCAUGCUUCUUAAUACAGCAAGGGCAGGUGGCAGCAAGCCAAAGUGGCCUCUGCAAAAUGCACGUGCAGGAGUGACUCUUUCAGCAUGCAUUAAAAAUCAGGAGCCAGCCAGGACAAAAGCACAGACUGACAGUGUGCCCCCAAAAGGGUGCCUGCACCAAGGUUUUGUUUUAAAAAAAAAAAAAAAGCAUUUUCUUUUCUGUUGAAUUGAGUUAAUGUUCUGUGCUAGCUUUUGUUCCUAGGGGCACGUGUGUGUGUGUGUGUGGAUAUUUACGUAAAUGGGCACACAGCUAGUUGCUCACACAGCUGCUGGCUGAAAAAAUCACACGGCAAGUUAUAGAAAUGAAACCUGGAGUAUUAAGAGGGAAGCUGAGACAGGGUCCCUAAAGGUUAUCAAGAACAAAUGAAGUGGCCCGGGCUUUGUUAAUAGCUUGUCUCAUCUCAUGAUUUAAAAAUAUAUUUGUGUCAAUAAAGACAUAUCCAAGAGAGUUCAUGAAGUGCCUAUCUGGAUGGUUUGGUUUUGUAAUAUGGAUUUACUUCAAACCCAAGGUGUUACUAAGAAGUGCUAAUAGUGAUUUAGAGCCCCGGUGGGGCAGUGGUUAAGUGCUACGACUGUCAACCAAAAAGUCAGCCGUUGGAAUCCACCAGCUGCUCUUUGGAAAGCCUAUGGGGCAGUUCUACUCUGUCCUAUAGGGUUUCUGUGAGUUGGAAUCAACUCAACGACAAUAGGUUAAUACUGAUUUGAAUGUGGGAUAAAAAACAAAAAAUACCAGUUGCUGUUUAGUUGAUUCUGACUCAUGGCAACCCCAUGUGUGCGAAGUAGAACUGUGCUCCAUAGGGUGUUCAAGGCCAUGAACUUCUGCAAGCAGAUCACCAAGCUUUUCUUCCAAGACACCUCUGGGUGGGUUCUAACUGCCAACCUUUUGGUUAGUAAUCAAGUGCUUAACUUUUUGCACCACCCAGGGACUCUGUGGAUGUGGAAUAGGGUCCAUUAUUCUAGGGUGUGGGAUCACAACAUUAGUACCACAUAAAGCCAUACUCUAUUUUAUAAGCCAUUGUCUCUCAUUAUACGUAAUAGGUAAUUUCCCAGGAAUCUGUGUAUAAAUUAAAUAUUUUUAAAUAAAAUCAUGUUUCGAUUGCUCUAAAAGAAUUAACAUUUUUGCAGCAAAACACUCCUUUUUGAAACAUAAAAGGCAGAGCUGUAAGUUAGGAACGAGAGAGUGCUUGGCCUGGUCAUUUUUCCACUGAGGGCUCAGUUUUCUCAGCUACAAGAUGGGCGGAUGAGUGCAAUCAAAGAACUCCAAGAUCCCUUUCUGACUUUGUCGUUCUAGGUUCUAAGAAUUGCCUCGUAACUUGAAUAAUCACCUCAUAAUGUGUCCAUCAUCUUUUUAAAUCCGAGGGCUUUACGCUCAGCUGCCUUAAGAGGGAUUUACUAGAACUGGUACUAACAGGUUGUCUGAAUUUAUUAUUUAUUCCAUUACUCUUUUGGGAUGAAGUGGAAUGAUUUAUAAGUGAUGAGGUUAUAAAAGCACACAUGGACAGACAGGAAGACAAGGACAGGAAGAGAGGUAGUGAGACAUGUCAGCAUUUCCCCAGACAGCUCGAUCCUGGAAAGCAAGAGUGGAGUCCCCUUCAUUCACUCACAGCUCACAUACACUGGCCUGGGAGCAUUGUACACCAGCCAUGAGGUAAAGCCAUGAGCCUUUCCUGGGACCCAGCAGGCCACACUCACAAGAAGCUGUCCAGCAGGUAUCUAUGCAGGAGAGUCUGUGAACUGUGUGAAUUACAGGAAGUGAAUCCACAGGGUCAGCACUAUAUUGGACAACAUUCUGUUGUGAUCCGUAGAGUUUUCAUUGGCUAAUAUUUGGAAGCAGAUCACCAGGCCUUUCUUCCUUGUCUGCCUUAGUCUGGAAGUGCCACUGAAACCUGCCCACCAUGGGUGACCAUGCUAGUAUUUGAAGUACCAGUGGCAUAGCUUCCAGCAUCACAGCAACAUGCAAGCCACCACAGUACGACAAACUGACAGAUGGGUGGUAGACUCGUCUAUACAUAAUAUCAAAAAGUUUUCUUUUUAAUUUUUGUAUAACCAUUUUUUAAAAUGAUCACUCUCUUAUAAAUUGUUUUAGCAAACUUUUAUAUUAGAAAACACAGAUCUGCCAUAUUUUUACCUAUGUAGUUUUGGCUAAAUUGAUGUAGGUAAAUACCACAAAAGAGUGGGAUAUAAUCCUGAAAAACACUAUAAAAUGUCAAACUUCUCUGGACACCUCAUUAUCUAUCAAAAGUUGGAAGGCUAGGGAUCAAGAGCCACCAUGUGAUAUUCUUAUGUGAACAAAACAAUAACUAACCCCCAAACUCUGUGACAAAAUCAUCAAAACCCAGAUCUGAAUAUGGGAAAAGUAGAGCUGUAAAGAGAAGGGUGUAGAAAAGAUGGUAGGAAGUUGUUGAAGGCAAACCUACUUGUUCAAUAAUAUUUAUACAGACACAAAUAGUAGUAACCACCUGAGGAAGACUAGAAACUAUUUCAGUGCCACUUUAGGGUCGCUAUGCGUCAGAAUUUUUUUUUUUUUUUUUUUUUAUGCGUCAGAAUCGACUUGAUAGCAACGGGUUUCAUUUGGUUUGGUGCACUGCUGUGAGUCCACACUAGAAAAUAUAAAUGAUACUCAGGUCAUCUUGUAAACUGAAUGCAUUUAGUGUAAACUGAACUGUCAUGGAUUGAAUUGUGUCCCCCCAAAAUAUGUGUCAACUUGGUUAGGCCAUGACUCCCAAUAUUGAUUGUGUGGUUGUCCUCCAUUUUGUGAUUGUAAUUUUAUGGUAAAGAGAAUUAGGGUGGGAUUGUAACACCAUUACCCAGGUCACAUCCAUGAUCCAAUGCAAAAGGGAGUUUCUAUGGGGUGCGGCCUACACCAUCUUUUACCUCUCAAGAGAUAAAAAGGAAAGGGAAGGGAGCAGAGAAGGAGGACCUCAUACCAUGAAGAAAGCACCGCUGGGAGCAGAGCAUGUCCUUUAGACCUGAGGUCCCUGAGCCAAAAAGCUCCUAUUCCAGGGGAAGAUUGAUGAGAAGACCAACAGAGAGAAGCCUUCCUCUGGAGCUGAUGCCCUGAAGCUGGACUUUUAGCCUACUUUACUGUAAAGAAAUCAAUUUCUCUUUGUUAAAACCACCCACUUGUGGUAUUUCUGUUAUAGCAGCACUAGAUGACCAAGACAUGAACCCUUUUGGCUGAGGGUCCAUUUCUACACCUGCCUUAUAGUCUUGUUCUCAAGCUAUUAGGACAUGGCCCAUGAAGGAGUGGCUGGGAUGCAGAUGGGAUUAGUAUGCUCUGAGCUAACUCUCCUCCUGUCUUUCUGUAGAUGCAUCCUGAGUUGACUUUCUUUCCCUGUCUCUCAGCACUAGUUAGAGCUGUGUUUUGCUCUUGGAUCCAUUCUUCCUCCUUCAAAUCCUAAGAAAGCACAACUCAAAAAGGGAUUGUGAGCUCUUGCUGCUAUUGACCUCUGAGCAGAAAAGGUGACCUAAUAUAAUUAAUGAGCUCAGUUGGACUUUGCCCGUGGCCUAGAGGAUGUUGUGGGUUCCCAGAACAUUUAGAGGAGGAAUGGCAAGAGACCCAGCAUGCUUGGAUGGCUGUUUGACCUCCUGGAAAUAUCUAGGCUUGGCGGAGGUACCCUAUCCCAGCAGGAUCGCCUGUCAUGGAGUGUCAGAGACAUGCUGAAGGGGACGGCCACCCAUCCACUCACAAAGAGUAACUCCACCUCUCUGCUAGGUGCAUGUCUCCUCUGAUUCAAGGACAACCUUGCUUAAUGUGGCAAAACCUGAGUUAGCAGGGUAAAUGGGCUUAAAUGGGAUGCAGCGAGGGGCUUAGCCAAGAUGGAGAUGGCAUGGACCAUGACCAGCCCAGCACUCCAGCGUGGAAAGACUGCCAUUUUUAUCCAAGUCAUACUGAGUUUAGAUUGUAACUAUUAUACUCUUGGUAAACUGUGUACUGUUCACGUCACUGUACAAAUUCAGUUCUUCUCAACAAGCUUUUCUUUCUUUUGAGAAGCAUCCUUGGUGAAGGGAGGUCUCUGAGCUGGAAGGCGGAGGCCCUGGACAGAUGUACUGGCUGUGUCUGGACAGUAGUGCCUUGUCUGGCUGAAUCCAGGGCUCAGCUUGCCAAGUUAUGCCACGGCCCAGGGCUGAGUCAGCAGGGGGAAGGAGCACCUUUGUGUAAUUGGUUUACCUUUUUUCAAGUUUGCACAAAGCUCCUUAAGUGCUAGAGGUAUGUAGCCACCAUCUGACUGAGGAGGAGCCAGGAGCCAUAUGCAGUGGCCUCUUGGUCCUCAACAUGGGUAGCUUAUGGGCACACCUGAACACAGCCUAUUCUCGUUAUGUUGCCACUAGCCACUUGUCUUAGGCUGAGUUCUCUAGAGCAGUAAAACUAGUGAAGUGUAUAUAUAUAUAUAUAUAUCCAAACCAAACCAAACCCAGUGCUGUCGAGUCGAUUCCGACUCAUAGCGACCCUAUGGGACAGGGUAGAACUGCCCCAUAGAGUUUCCAAGGAGCACAUGGCAGAUUCGAAAUGCUGACCCUUUAGUUAGCAGCUGUAGCACUUAACCACUAUGCCACCAGGGUUUCCAUAUAUAUAUAUAUACACAUGUGUAUAUAUAUGUACAUAUAGAGAGAGAGAGAGAUUUAUUUCAAGGAAAUGGCUCAUGCAUUUGUGUAGGCUCGCAAGUUCCAAAUUCAUGGGUCAGAAGUCAAGCUGGAGGCCUCUGACUCACAUGGCUGCAGGCACUGACAAACUCAAAAUCUGCAGGUCAGAGAGCAAGCUGCUAGCUCAGGUCCCAAGAACUGAAGGUCAGAGGAUGACGAGUUGGAUGCAGGAUCCAGAGAGAGCAAGCUUUGCCAGAACACCUAUAUAUACUAUAUGCAAGGCCACACCCCUAAGGAAACUCCCCUUUUAACUGAUUGGCUGCUCACAUCAGAUCACAAAAUAGAGGGUGAUUACAAAAUAUCUGCCAAACCAUUGAGUAUCAUGGCCUAGCCUAGUUGACACAUAACCUUAACCAUCACACCACUCUUGCACCUGAACGUUCAGUAACAAAACCUUGGCCUUCAAGAAUCGGUGUGAAUAACUGUGCUGGUUUAAUUGCUCUUAAUGAUGUGCGACGCUCCCUCCAACAUAGUCUCGGGGGAUGAACCCUCUACCAAGAGAAGACUCAGAAGACCUGAAUUUAAACCUGACUCUGUCCCUAAAAGCUGUUUGAUCUAGUUUGAUUAACUUUCCAGAUCCUUAGUUUCUUUACCUGUAAAAUGGGGGAUUAUCCUGAGGAUUAAAUGAGAGAAUGUUCUGGAGAACAUUUCGUGACUUGUAAUAUCCUGAACAAAGGUUAGGAGUGAUCAUUAUUCUCCAUGAACGCUUGGCCUCUGAUUCACCUCUGCAUGAGAAACCAGAUGUUCUUGUUCCCAUUUUGUGCAGCAGUUACUUCAAAGUCUCGGUAAGUCGGCUUCAUGCUGCUGGUGCAACACGCUGGAGGGAGGCCGCACUGUGAGCUUGCUUCUGCUUUUUUUCUUUUCUGGUGAGGGGGUAGUGAACUUUCUUAGAGAUAAAUAACACUGCUCAUGGGAAUUUCAGAAAGAAAACCUUCUGGAUACCAUAAAAAAACUUAGCUUUGUGAAGUUGAAUACCCAUGAAAAGUAAAAAGGCAAAAAGAGUGGGGGACAACGCAAGUCAGGAAUCUGAAUCUCCUUAAAUGGAUUUCAAGAUAUUUUUGUUUGCUUAUAAAUGAUAAGAAUGGACAUCUGAGUCAGACUGAGACAAAGCACAAUCUCCUGGACCGUGUGCUUCCAACUUCAGACUGCCACCUUAGCACUACGGAACUCCUUCAGACCAACCUCUCUUUCGAGUCUUUCUCCACACCAUAAUAACCCUCUCAACUAUUAAAGUCCUUAACAGGUGGACCCACAACUGUGUUUACAGGUAGGUGGGAUAGGGAGUAAUUGAACUUAAGAAAUUUCCCCACCCCAAAAUAUCUCCCUAAGUAUCCCGUUGUUAAUGACUGAAAUCCUGUUAAAUGAAAACCCACUGCUAUUCAGUCGAUUCUGACUUAGAGUGACCUUAUUAAAAAAAAAAACAAACCAAACCCACUGCUCUAUAGGACAGAGUACAACUGCCACAUAGGGUUUCCAGGGCUGUAAUCUUCAUGGAAGCAGGCUGCCACAUCAUUCCCUUGUGGAGCGGCUGGUGGGGUUGAACUGCCGACCUUUCCAUUAGCAGCCAAACACUUUAACCGCUGUACCACCAGGUCCCCUUAAAAUUCUGUUACUAGCCACUAAUUCCUUUAGAUUAAGAUAUUAUUCCUCUAUUAAAUCUCAAGUAAUCCCUGGAGGAGUAACAUAUUAAACUAUUAGUUUGUCUUUUAUACCUUAGCGUGAAAGACUUAAUUCAGAGGUUAGCAAACUUAUUCUGUAAAGACUCAGAGAGUAAAUACUGAGCAGGCAAUAUGAUCACUAAUAUCACACACAAGUAAAAUUUUGCUGAAGAUCAUUCAAAAGUGGUUGCAGCAGUACAGCAACAGCAAUUUGCCAGAAGUUGAAGCUGGAUCCAGACGAGGAGUUGGAAUGAGGGAUAUCAUUGCUGUUGUCAGAUGGAGCUUGGCUGACGGCAGAGAAUACCAUAAAGAUGUUAACCUGUGUUUUAUUAACUAUGCAAAGGCAUUCGACUGUGUGGAUCAUAACAAAUUAUAAAUAACAUUGUAAAGAAUAGGAAUUCCAGAACACUCAACUGUGCUCAUGAGGAACCUGUGCACAGACCACGAGGCAAUUGUUCGAACAGAACAAGGGGCUACUGCACGGUUUAAAAUCAGGAAAGGUGUGUAUCGGGCUUGUAUUCUUUCACUAUGCUUAUUCAAUCUGUACACUGACCAAAUAAUCCAAGAAGAUGGAUUAUAUGAAGAACUCGACAUCAGGAUUGGUGGAACACUCAUUAAACAACCUGCGUUAUGCAGAUGUCGCAACCUUGCUUGCUGAAAGUGAAGAAGACUUGAAGCACUUACUGAUGAACAUCAAAGACCACAGCCUUCAGUAUGCAUUACACCUCAACAUAAAGAAAACAAAAUCCUCACAAUUGGACCAAUAAGCAACAUUAUGAUAAACAAAGAAAAGAUUGAAAUUGUCAAAUAUUUCAUUUUACUUGGAUCCACAAUCAAUGCCCAUGGAAGUAUCAGUGAGGAAAUUAAACGACAUAUUGAACUGGGCAAAUCCACUGCAAAAGACUUCUUUAAAGGGUUAAAAAGCAAAGAUGUCACUUUGAGGACUAAGGUGUGCCUGACCCAAGCCAUGGAAUUUCCAAUCGCCUCAUAUGCAUGUGAAAGCUGGACAAUGAAUAAGGAAGACCGAAGAAGAACUGAUGGCUUUGAAUUAUGGUGCUGGUGAAGAGUAUUGAAUAUACCACCGACUGCCAAAAGAACAAAAUCUGUUUUGGAAGACGUACAGCCAGAGUGCCACUUGGAAGUGAGGAUGGCGAGACUUGUCUCACAUACUUUGGGCAUAUUAUCAGAGGGAUCAGUCCUUAAAGAAGGACAUCAUGCUUGGUAAAGUGGAGGGUCAGUGAAAAAGAGGAAGACCCUCAAUGAGAUGAAUUGGCACAGUUGGCUGCAACAAUGGCCUCAAGCAUAACAACGGUUGUGAGGAUGGCAUAGGACCAAGCAGUGUUUCAUUCUAUUGUACACAGGGUCGCUGAGUCAGAACCGACUCAACAGCACCUAACAACAACAACAGCAGCUUCCUAAACUAUAAGAAAAUGAAUUAUGUUCUCUAAAACCACCCACUUGUGGUAUUUCUGUUGUAGCAACACUGAGAACCUAAGAGAGACUUUGUUCCAGGAGCAGGGCUGGAUUUGAGCUUUGACAUUACUCUCUCUCUUGCCCAGUCCUUCCUGUGACAGGCAGUGCAACGUGGAAGAUAGCAAAUUUGGAAUUAGGAACGGAGCCUGCAGCCAUGGUCUAGUCAAGCUGGAGUCGUAAUGACAGCUCUGAGAAGGCUAAAACUGACCACUAGGAUGGGGAGGGGAAGGGCACUGGGGUCGUUGAAUUGGUGCCUUCAUUCUACUCUGAGGCAUGCUGGCUUCUCUCCAUAUUUGGGAAGAGGCCAAUGCCUUGGAGACAGUGUAAUUAUCUUUUAUACAUUCAUAGGGAAGUUUAUUUUUGGUAAAGACACUCCAACUGGAAUAUACUUGAUUGGUUUACAUUGGAAAAUGAUUUGGGCUUCAUCAUCCAAAUUACAUUAAAAAUGCUGAAAUGCCUUCCAGUUAUUAUCUAAGUCUAGCCGACUUCUUACUGAAUCAGGGAUGUGUAGUAACAUCCAGAUUCCUGGCUCUGCAUGUAUAUUGUGCCCCUAAAUAUGUAUUAAUAAGAGAAGAACUUUCCUUUUGAAAGGGACUAUAGGGUCGCCAUGAGUCAGAAUUGGCUCGACAGCAAUGGGUUUUUGGUAUUAGCAUUCAGUAGGAGGUUUAUACACGGACCCCUUUCCUCUUUGUGCAGAACGUCAUGAGAGAUCUGAACACAGAGAUGACAGAAGAACCGCACCAUUUGUGCUGUGCACAGCCAGACUUGGAGGAAGGGGAGGCGCUGCCCCCAAUUUAGAGCCCCAGGAGAGUGGCCCUGGAGGAAAUACCCCCUCUCCACUUCCCUAGGAGAAAGCAGUGUCCAGUAGGCCCCACCUGCUGGCCUGGAUCUGAGGCUGGCUCUGCCUGGAAACCUUGUUCAAUCAAAGCAGGGACUAUGGUGGUGGUGGCUGGAUCAGCCACCUCGACAUCACCUGAGAGCUUGUUAGAAAUGCAGACUCUUAGGUUUCAAACCAGAAUCUGCUUUUUUAGCAAGAUCCCAAGUGAUUUAUAUGUGUAAUAAAGUUUGAAAAGCACGCUUUUGUUAGCGAUCUGAGGCCUACUGGUCUUUCAAUGCUCACCAUUUAAAUACUAGGCCCUGAUCCACCUUUCCACCUAUUCUGAAUCAGAUAUCCCAGAAUAACACUGCUCUACCUCCCAACGGUAACAUCUCCAUCCUGCUCCCCACAAUUGGAGGCCCUUGAUAUCCCCACCUGUCAAAAGUUCCCCUAUUUGGGCAUGGCUUUCUAGUCUCAGCCCCUCCCCAGGAGUUCUUUGUUCCUGCCAGCUGUCUUCCCUCUGCGCACCCGCUUUGGGUUCCAUAUGCCAAGCAUGGGAAGGGAGUGACUGGAACUUCCUCUUCCACGUAGACUUGGACAAAUUCAAACACUGAUGAGCUCAGUUCAGAGAGGAAGUAGGACUAGCUGAGAGAUUCAGGGAACAGAGGGUCAGUUUCUGGGUGACCCACUUUCCAAGUGACCUGAAGUCAACACAUCACCUCUAUCUAAGCCCCCAUUGUUGAUGGGAAAGCUACCUUUGAACACCUUCUGUGAAACCCAUUAAACCAACUUGGAAUCUUAAAAGUUCUCUAUACAUUUGCUUCUGAGGCCAAUUUAACCAGGAAUACAUGGCCAGCAAAGAGUUUCAGUGUUGAUUUUACUAAAAGUCUAAUAGCCCCUUUUGUUUUUGUUAAGCAUGGAAGCCAUUAACCUAUCAUUAUAGGAUAUCCCCAUGCCAUGGAGUCGAAUUGUUAAUUGAAUGGUAUGCCUUUAAUAGAUUAGUCAGUAAUUAUAAAAGCUAUUUUCAAAACCCCAAAUUUGAUCAUUCCAAAAGAAGGAGGAUUUCUCACCACAAAAACCAGCUUUAGGCUUGGACAGCAAUUACUCACAAUUCCUUUCCUGGCAUUAUGACUAUAGGGGUAGACAGUGGAUUGGUUCCAAAAAUAAUCUCAAGCUUUUUCCUCUUAAAGUAUGUCCAUUUCUAGGCUUAUCUCUCCUGUCUCCAGAAGGGGAGAAUGUAGAGCACAAGCUGCACAGUUGCCUCCAGCCUGCAAUUUGCCGAAGGCCAUUUCCUUGACAGGUCUGAAUUACCACAUGGUUAAUUUCACUGCUCUGGAAUCCAGAUGGACUAAAUGGAUGUCAAUAGUUAUGCAGAUUUACUUGAGCAAAGUAAAGGAGUUACACAAAUAAGCCGAUUUACACAUGUUGGAAUACCCCAGGGCCCUGGCGGGGAAGUGGUUAAGUGUUCAGUUGCUAAAAAAAAAAAGGUCAGCAGUUGGAAUCUACCAGUCACUCCUCGGAGGCCCUAUGGGGCGGUCCUACCCUGUCCUGUGGGGCUGUCCUGAGUUGGCGUUGCCUUCGACAGCAGUGGGUUUGGCUUUUGGUUUUUUGGAAACACUCCACGAUACUGUAGUGUACAAUCCUGUUGUUGUUAGUUGUCGUGGAGUCAGUUCUGACUCAUGCAGGCCUCGUGAACAACAGAGCCAAACACGGCCUGAUCCUGCACCAUCUCUGUGGUGGUCGGCACGCUCACGUUCACUGUCGUAGCCUCUCUGUAUUUUGAGCACCUUCCAACCUGCGGAGUUCAUCUUCCAGCACAGUAUUGGACAAUAUUCUGUUGUAAUCCACAAGGCUGGCAGUUGGAAUCCACCACCUGUUCCUUGGAAACUCUAUAGGGCAGUUCUGCUCUGUCCUAUAGGGUUGCUAUGAGUCGGAAUUGACUCAAGGGCAACGGGUUUGGGUUUGUUUGUUUUUUUUUUCUGCAUCAAGAAUGAUGAGGCAAGAUAUAAACAUGAAACUUUAACUCUUGUUAAUUUUUCAAGCUAUUCCCAUCUUCCUAAGGAUUGAUUAGGGAAGAAACUACCAUUUUUGAUUUUCCAUUCUGUGCCCAAUAUCCUCAGAAUCAGAAAGGUAUUUCUUUAAAGUAUAACUUUUUAUAGUACAAUAAAAAAUUUAACACCAAUUUGAGUUGCUAAUUUGUCACAAGGAAAUACAUAAUUAAUUACCAAAUUAAUUGUAACCCCAUGACUGCUGCAGAGGCCUGUAAGUUCAUUUCACCCGAAUUCAGGGAGGAAGUAGGAUCAGCUGGGAUUGAGAAGGUGGUAGGAAACUUGGCCGCUGAGUGGGUCUUAAAGGGUACAUAGUGGGAGUCCUAGUUUGAACCUAAACUGUUUCUGACAGUAGGACUUGGAUAUUUCUGAGCACGUCUGAUAAGCCAGGGAGGAAGCAGUUCUUGGAUGUCCACUGCAUGAGUAAGUUUUCAAGGGUGCCUCUUUGGGGGACAAGGUACUGGAAGGGCAACAUGGGGUCUGGUGAGUCCCUCCCUCCCCUCAGACAACAGAUUCCUGUCUGAGGCUUUGGAAAGAAGGCAGAUGCCAAAGGAGCUGCUUUCAGGAGGAAUCUGAGUCACAGGGCUAUGAGUAAAAAUGAGUAAUGUCCCCUGAAGUCCAGGGAGUGAAGGCUGACCCAGAGGGAGAAGAAGAGCACCUUCUCCUCUUCUGCAUAGAACAGUGUAGCAUCUGUUCCUGAACACUCCAGUGGCCACAGUGCUGGGACCUUGAGGGCUACAGCCUUGGGGGCAUCAGGACAAAGGACAUUGUGGUAUUUAUGGUGGGCAUGGGCAGGAGUGGUGGCCUUGGUUAGAAGCAUAAGCAUGGGCGGAGCAAGGAUGGCUAGAGCUAGAGAGAAAGAGCAUGGCACGUACCAUGUGUUUGUGGCAUGUUUGUGAGUGCAUGUGAGACAUUCUCUGGGGUGAAAUUUCUGGGUGUUACUUUGAGGGAUCCUAGAGGCCGAGCACCACUCAGGCAGGACCAGGUGUGAUAUUGUUAUUGUUGUUAGCUGCUGUUGACUUGGCCCCGGACUUAUGGAGACCCCAUGCACAAUGGAAGUAACGCGGUUGCCAUGUAGGGAGCUGCUAUUGCUGUGAUCCACAGGCCGAGGAGGCCAGAGAAACAAGUUACAGAGUUCAAAUGGAGAUAUUUGAAGAGAAGUGUUGGCCACACACUGUGGUGAAAGGAUGUGAGCAAAAGGCUGGCCGCAGGAACGAGCACAUCAUAUUCUAGGGACAGUUUGGCUGAAAAGGAAAGGUCUUGUAGGGGGUGAUGGGAAACAAAGGUGCAGAGAAAGAGGGUGGCCUGAAGAGGAAGGCCCUGAACGUCUGGCGAAGGGGGUUGCCAUGGGAGGCUGAUCAGAAAGAGGGUGAGGCUACAAUAGCAGGGUCUGGGAGGAUUCACCUGGCCAGGGGGUUCAGCAGAAGUUCUCAAACUUGCUUUUAGUAGUAGAAACAUUUUUGGAAAUGAAAUCUAAUGAGGCUGCUUUCUAGAUCUGUGGUAAAUGAGACCAGAGUGGUAGAAAGAGAGAAAGAUGCAGAAAAAGAUGCAGCCCAGUGUACAGGGUGAUGCCCCAGGGGUGAGUUCUCAGUGGUGGAGUAACUGGUGAUUGGAAGUUUUUUCUUCCAACCUGUAAUUCCUAAUUUUCUAUAAUAAACAUUUACUAAGUUUGUAAUUAAAAAAAAAAAUCAAAGCUAUUUUUAAAACUAAAACAAUUCAUUCCUUUGUUUUAGAAUGAGUUCCUAGCCUACCUCCUCAGAAAAAAAACUUUUCUUGUUACUUUGGAUCUCACAGACUUCCUUCUACCACAUCUUGCCUGCUCUCUGAUGAUUGUGGAAUUGUGGAUAGAUUCACAAAACCACCUGUUAAUGUAUGUUAAUGUCGUCUGUGCAAUUAGUUUAUAAACUUGGCAAGGUCAGCUUGUCUUAAUCUGUGUAUCCUUCCCGUGUAUCAGUAGGUGCUCAAUUAAUGCUUAUUACCUGAGGAAAAGUUCUGUUGUGGAACUAAGAGAGUAAUCAUUAAAGUCCUGUUUGGGGCGUGGUCUAAAGCUUUGGGAAUUUUUGCAUCUAUCUUUAAUGUCGAGUUGUUUCUGAGUCAAUGACUGGAUUCUUUCCGCUGUCUGCAGUGCCAUGAGUAUUGUUACAGUUUUGGUCCUAGCCAAAAGAGACCACACCUCAAGAGAUUCAUCCAUUUACUCAGGAGAGCUUAAUCUUUAACUGUCUGGGUUAGGAGAGGUCACAGAAAAGAGUGUUGCAGGCUGACUGCUAAUAUAGUUCAGGCUUGAGGAAAUGCCAGGAUUAUGGGUAACAUGUACCAAGCGUUACUCCCGGCUUCUAGCCUGACAGAUGUGCGUCUGGUCAUAGGUAUUUUCAAGUCACACCACUGCCUGCCCACACAAAGCUGUUUUGCUCUUUCACUCUUUUUCCUCUCCCUCUCUCUCUCACACAUACAAACACACACACAACCCUCAAUGUUGUGGUUUCUCUUUCAAUAAGCCUUUGGUUUUAUAAAUCUGCAUGUUUCAUUGGGGGGCAGUGGUGGUUCAGCGGGCUGAAAUGAAUUCCCACCUUCCAUGUGGGAGACCUGGGUUUGAUUCCGGCCAAUUCACCUCAGGUGCAGCCACCACCCAUCUGUCAGUGGAGGCUUGCAUGUUGCUGUGAUGCUGAACAGGUUUCAGAGGAGCUUCCAGGCUAAGACAGACUAGAAAGAAAGGCCUGGUGACCUACUUCUGAAAAUCAGCCAGUGAAAAAACCCUAUGGAUCACAGCAGUUGGACCGACCAAUCAUGGGGAUGGUGCAGCAUGUCAUUCUGUUGUACACAGGGUCACCAGGAGUCGAGAGCUAAAUCAACAGCAGCUGCAACAUGUUUUGUUAAAUUCUAGUCCAUUUUGGAUCAUUGAACUCUGAGAGGUUUUUCUCUAUCUCUAGUUCUUGGGUCUUCUGAUAUGUGCCUAAGGAGAAACAAUCAACAAACAGAAACAAAGGAACAAAUGGCAAAAUCAAGGCCCUGAGGCCUUCACGUUGAAGUCAUUUAUUAUGUAACAACAACAACAAAAAAAGAGUCCUAAGCAACUGGAGAAGAGGAAGGCAUAUUGUUGACUUAAUCUCUUAAAUAUUAAUAACAGUUUGAAGGCAGGUGUGAUGACAAAUUAGGGAGUAAUAGCGCUAACUCUUCAUAUGAAUAUCUGACCUAUUACCACCACUGGGUUUAAUGUGACUCAUCCAGUCUCGGUCACGGUCAUCACGUUGCCCGUAUUGUGCAAUCUAGAUCAGUUUUGCAAUGGCUGAAGACAACAAAGGACUAAAACCAAGGAGUUCCAGUACAGAGAAAGGAAAUGAGGCUUCCUGCCUGCUGAAGCCACUCACCCAAAGAAAAACAGGAUUAAAUGGAAUGAAAGGUGUUUCUCUCAGAUUGGCCCCAAGCUUCUUCUGUUUCCUUAUAGCCUUAGGCUGCUGGGUCUAGCCUUUAGGAUGCUAUGACCCAGAGUGUCUAAAGGGAAUUAGCUGUAUCCUCCCAUAAGCUGCUACCAAACCAGGGACAGAGGACACUCAUCUACUUGGAUGUACAGGAUCAUCUAAUCAUGAGCUCAGUAGUUUGCCUAUUGUCCACCUCUGGAAGCCAGCCAAGGCUAACCAACCUGAGAUGUCAACCUGAGGACUCUGAGGGACAGUCCAGGUGAGCUCUGAGGCUCACCUCAGUUCCCUCAGUGGAAAUUGGCCUUAUGGGUGGGCCCUAGACAAAUUCUGAAUACUGGGGUUAUCUCUAGAACCACUGUUGGCCCUCCCUUCUGUGAACCAAUGAGUUGAGACUGGGCUCUGAGAUGUUCUCGCUUUCCUUCUCUUGGGUCUCCUCACUGUUGUCUCUUCAUUCCUGCUGCUAAAACCUAGCCCAGGGGUUAUUAUCUUGCAUUUGAACCAGAACAGAAAGCAGUUUCUAUCUCAUGGGCCAAUUCAAAUUAAUUGGUAGUGGCUUGGAGCACUAUGUUGAGAUGGAUUUUGAGUUUAGUAGGAAAGAGGGUGGCUGUCCAUUAAUAGUGAUUGCCAUGGGCACCGGAGGGAAAUUGUGGCAUUUGCAAAUACAGUCUGUGUAUUUGCUCAUUUUGAUCUGAUCCAUUACAUUAGUCAGCUAAGUGGCGUACCUACUUCUACUUUCUUCCAGAAAAAUAAGAUUAAUCUUCCAGAACCAUCAUUUAACAAUGGCCUUAUGGAAAAAAAAACUUUAAGCCCACUCCACUUUAGUCACAGGCCUGUUCCACGUGUGUGUGUGUGUGUGUGUGUGUAGAUUUGACGUGUUGAACACUAAUGAUCAAAGACCAGAUGAGUUGUAGGAAGAUAUCAAGGACAUCAUACAUGAAGAAAGCAAGAGAUCAUUAAAAAGACAGGAAAGAAAGAAAAGUCCAAAAUGGAUGUCAGAAGAGACUCUAAAACUUGUUCUUGAAUGUAGCCUCACUAAAGCAAAUGGAAGAAAUGAUGAAGUAAAAGAGCUGAACAGAAGAUUUCAAAGGGCAGCUUGAGAAGACAAAGUAAAGUAUUAUAAUGAAAUGUGCAAAGACCUGGAGUUAGAAAACCAACAGGAAAGAACACAUUCAGCAUUUCCUAAGCUGAAAGAACUGAAGAAAAAAUUCAAGCGUUGGGUUGCAUUUUUUAAGGAUUCUCUGGGGAUAGGCAAAAUACUUAAUGAUGCAAGAAGCAUCAAAAGCAGAUGGAGGGGUGGGUAGGGUCAAGAUAACAGAGUAGUCAGAUGCUUCCUGUGGUCCCUCUUACAACAAAGACCUGAAAAAAAACAAACGAAUCAAUUACUAGCUAGGAGUCCUGAACAUCAAAGGCAAAGUUGAGGAAUCAGGCUGAGUGGCAGGGAGAGGGAGAAACGGUUCAGAAGCAGUGAGGAGUUGGCAAAACUGACCUAGUGGGAAUUGGCCGCAAGCACAGCAAGGCAGGCAGAGGCAUUUGGGAUGCAUUUUCCACAUUGGGAGAGGCUGAACGGCAGAGAGUCUGCUCAACCCUCCAGAAUAAGGGGGAAGCAGCCCUCAACUGGCAAACUAUAAGUACCUACGUUUAACCUAUCGCAAUCCAAAAAUACCCCUUUGGGAAAAACCUCCCUCCCGCUUAUCUGCUCCCUUCUUGAUCUGCACUGGGUCCCAGCUGGCUGCAUCCCCUGGGCCAGAAGAAGAACCUUGCACUUGCCCUGAGCCAUUCUCCAGGCCUUGGAAAGGGAACAAAUUAACAAACAGGGAAAAAAUAAUCGGCCAGCUCCCCUAAGCUGGGAACUCAGGGCAGAAAUGGCUCCUUUGCCCAGGCACAGGCAUAAGGGGUCCAUGGACUUUGAAUGCCUUUCACCCCUGCAUAGACCUGUGUGGGCCCAUUUCAACAGUGUAGGCCCUCAUUCACACAGUACAACAGGGUAUACACCUGAAGUCUAACUUCAACAGUUUCAGCUACAUGGUGGAGAGGUAGGUUCAUGACAUUUAACACCCCUUUGCCUAUUAAGCAGGGUCCUUACCUACUCACCUCAGGGGCCUGAGGACUGGUGGCUCCACCCACACCACCUAGCCAUUGCAACAGGGGUCAAGAAUAAGUGGUGCCUCUCAGUCCUUACAACCAACAGCAUUGGGUGUCCAUAGUCUGGCUGCAAAACCCAUCCACCUAUGCACUCUAGGGAACAGGGACAUGCUUUCUUCACAGAUGCUCAGGGGCGGUUGUCAGCCCCCUGCCUUGCUCAGCACGUGACCCCCUACUGCAGCCAGAUACCUGUGCCUACACCAAUCACCCCUGCUCAUCUAUGACUGUAGGUGAGAGCCUGCACCACACACUUGGUGACUGACUAUCUGGACACCUGAGCUGAAUCUAUACAAGAAAAGUGAAUGGACUUCUAGGCUCACAUACCUAGUAACAGCUCUGUCCACUUGGUGACAGGACGUCUGAGCUUCAAAGGCACCAAUAAUCAAACUAGCUCACUCAAGCAGCCUAUCUGGGCAUAUCAAAACAAAACAAAACAAGAAGCGAGGACACAGUAAGCAAACAUAAAAUAUAUAAAUACAAUACCUUAUUUAUGGCUCAGAGACAACAUUCAAUAUUAAAUCACAUAAAGAGACAGACCACGAUGGCUUCAGCAAGUUCCGAAAUCAAAGAAUCAAGAAAUCUUCCAGAUGAAGAGAAUUUCCUGGAAUUACCAGAGGUAGAAUAAAAAAGAUUAAUAUACAGAACUCUUCAAGAGAUCAGGAAGAAGAGGCAAAGCAGAACAAGCCAAGGAAUGCAGAAAGCAUUAGAGAAACUUAAGCAGAUUAGACAAGAGCAUAAUGAUAAGUUUAAUAGGCUGCAAGAAUCCAUAGAGAGACAGCAAACAGAAAUUCAGAAGAUUAACAAUAAAAUUUCAAAAUUAGACAAUUCAAUAGAAAGUCAUAAGAGCAGAAUUGAGGCAAUGGAAGUCAGAAUUAGUGAGAUUGAAGAUAAAGCACUUGGCACCAAAAUAUUUGAGGAAAAAUCAGAUAAAAGAAUUUUAAGAAACGAGCAAACUCUAAGAAUUAUAAGGGAGACUAUCAAGAGGAAAACCCUACAAGUGAUUGGAGUACCAUAACAGGGCAUGAUAACAUAUGAAAUACAGAGAGAAUUGUUAAAGAUUUGCUGGCAGAAAACUUCUCUGAUAUUGUGAAAGAUAAGGAGAUAUCUAUCCAAGAUGCUCAUCGAACCCCAUACAAGGUAGAUCCCAAAAGAAAGUCACCAAGACAUAUUAUAAUCAAACUUGCCAAAACCAAAGAUGAACAGAGAAUUUUAAGAGCCGCUAGGAAUAAAUGAAAAGUUACCUACAAAGGACAGUCAAUAAGACUAAGCCUGGACUACCCAGCAGAAACCACGCAGUCAAGAAGACAAUGGGAUGACAUAUAUAAAGUCUGAGGGAAAAAAAAUUGCCAGCCAAGAAUUAUAUAUACAGCAAAACUAUCUCUCAAAUAUGAUGGCAAAAUUAGGACUUUUCCAAAUAAACAGAAGUUUAGGGAAUUUGCAAAAACCAAACCAAAAUUACAAGAAAUAUUAAAGGGAAUCCUCUGGUUAGAAAGUCAAUAACAUCAGAUAACAAUCCAAAACUGGAACACAGGACAGAGCAACCAGGUAUCAACUCAGAUAGGGAAAUCACAAAAAUAAAUGCUCAAAACAGGGAAACAGCGGUGUCUUUAUGUAAAAGACGACAACAUUAAAAUAAAAAAGAGGGACUAAAAAAAUGUAGCCAUAGAUCUUUCAUAUGGAGGGGAAGUUAAGGUGAUAUAAAGAAACAAAAUAUUGGUUUAAACUUAGAAAAAUAAGGGUAAAUAUUAAGGUUGCCACAAAGGAAACUAACAGUCCUACACAUCAAAAUAAAAAACAUAAACGCUCAGCAAAUACAAAAUCAACAACAAUGAAAAAAGAAGAAAAGAAUAUAUAUAAAGAAAAAUGACUCAGCUCAGAAAAUUAAGUGGAACAAAGAAACUGUCAACAACACACAAAAAAAGACAUCAAAAUGGGACAGCACUAAACUCAUACCUAUCAAUAAUUAUGCUGAAUGUAAAUGGACUAAACGCACCAAUAAAGAGAAAGAGAAUGGCAGAAUGGAUUAAAAAAAAAUGAUUUGUCUAUAUGCUGCCUACAAGAGACACACCUUAGACUUAAAGACAAAAACAAAUUAAACCUCAAAGAAUGGAAAAAAAUAUAUCAAGCAAACAACAAUCAAAAAAGAGCAGGCAUGGCAAUAUUAAUUUCUGACAAACUAGGCUUUAAAGUUAAAUCUACCACAAAGGAUAAGGAAGGACACUAUAUAAUGAUUAAAGGGUCAAUCCACCAGGAGAACAUAACCAUAGUAAAUAAUUACAUACCCCACAAUGGGGCUCCAAAAUACAUAAAACAAACUCUAACAACAUUGAAAAAUGAGAUAGGCAGCUCCAGAAUAAUAGUAGGGGACCAGCACACCACUUUCGGUGAACAUCCAGAAAGAAGCUCAAUAAAGACACGGAAGAUCUAAAUGCCACAAUCAAUCAACUUGACCUCAUAGACAUACACAGAACAUUCCACCCAACAGCAGCCAAGUAUAUUUCCUUUUCCAACACACAUGGAACAUUCUUCAGAAUAGGAAACGUAUUAGGACAUAAAGCAAGUCUUAACAGAACCCAAGACAUGAAAAUAUUACAAAGCAUUUUUUCUGAACCUAAAGCUAUAAAAGUAGAAAUCAAUAACAGAAAAAGCAAGGGAAAAAAAAUCAAACACAUGGAAACUGAACAAUACCUUGCUCAAAAACUAUUGGGUUACAGAAGAAAUUAAGGACAGAAUAAGAAAAUUCUUAGAGUCAAAUGAGAAUGAAAAUACAUCCUACCAGAACCUGUGGGACACAGCAAAAGCAGUGCUCAGAGGUCAAUUUAUAGCAAUACAUACAUCCAAAGGGUAGAAGGGGCCAAAAUCAAAGCAUUAACCCUACAACUAGAGCAAACAGAAAGACAACAGCAAAAGAAACCUCGGUCACCAGAAGAAAGCAAAUAAUAAAAAUUACAGCAGAAUUAAAUGAAAUAGAGAAUAGAAAAACAAUCUUUUCUUUGAAAAGAUCAAAAAAAUUGCUAAACCAUUGGCCAAAAUGACAAAAGAAAAACAGGAAAGGAAGCAAAUAACCUGAAUAAGAAAUGAGAUGGGCGAUAUCACAACAGACCCCCAACUGAAAUUAAAAGAAUCAUAACAGAAUACUAUGAAAAAUUGCACUCUAACAAAUUUGAAAACUUAGAGGAAAUGGACAAAUUGCUAGAAACACACUACCUACCUAAACUAACACAAACAAAGGUGGAACAACUAAAUAAACCUAUAGCAAAAGAAGAGAUUGAAAAGGUAAUUAAAAAACUUCCAACAACAAUUUUAAAAAGCCCUGGCCUUGAUGGCUUCACUGGAGAAUUCUACUAAACUUUCAGAGAAGAGAGAACACUACAACUACUAAAGGUAUUUCAGAGCAUAGAAAAGGAUGGAAUACUCCCAAAAUCAUUCUAUGACGCCAGGACAACUCUGAUACCAAAACCAAGUAAAGAUACCACAGACCAAUAUCCCUCAUGAACUUAGAUGCAAAAAUCCUCAACAAAAUUCUAGGCAAUAGAAUUCAACAACAUAUCCAAAAAAUAAUUCACCACGACCAAGUGGGGUUCAUACCAGGUAUGCAGGGAUGGUUCAACACUAGAAAAACAACCAAUGUAAUCCAUCACAUAAAUAAAACAAAAGGCAAGAACCACAUGAUCUUAUCGAGUGAUGCAGAAAAGGUAUUUGACAAAAUCCAACACCCAUUCAUGAUAAAAACUCUCAGCAAAAUAGGACUAGAAGGGAAAAUCCUCAACAUAGUCAAAGACAGUUAUACAAAGCCAACAGCCAACAUCAGCCUAAAUGGAGAGAGUCUGAAAGUAUUCUUCUUGAGAAUGGGAACCAGAAAAGGAAGGCCUUUAUCACAGUCUUAUUCAGCAUUGUGCUGGAGGUCCUAGCCAGAGCAAUUAGGCUAGAAAAAGAAAUACAGGGCAUCCAAAUUGGUAAAGAAGUAAAAGUAUCCCUAUUUGCAGAUGACAUGAUCUUAUACACAGAAAACCCUGAAGAAUCCACAAGAAAACUACUGGAACUAAUAGAAGAGUUCAGCAAAGUAUCAGGAUACAAGGUAAACAUACAAAAAUCAGUUGGAUUCCUCUACACCAACAAAGAGAACGUCGAAGAAAUCACCAAAUCAAUACCAUUUACAAUAGACCCCAAGAAGAUUAAAUAGUUAGGAAUAAAUCUAACCAGAGAUGUAAAAGACCUAUAAAAAAAAAGAAAGAAAGAAAGAAAGAAAAUUACAAGACACUACUGCAAGAAACCAAAAGAGACCUACAUAAGUGGGAAAACAUACCUUGCUCGUGGAGAGGAAGACUCAACAUUGUGAAAAUGUCUAUUUACCCAAAGCAAUCUACAGAUACAAUGCAAUCCUGAUCCAAAUUCCAAUGGCAUUUUUUAAUGAGAUAGAGAAGCAAAUCACCAACUUCAUAUGGAAAGGUGUAUCCCUGGAUAAGUAAAGCAUCACUGGAGAAGAAGAACGAAGUGGGAGGCCUCACACUACCUGAUUUUAAAACCUAUUAUAACACUACAGUGGUCAAACCAGCCUGGUACUGCUACAACAGCAGAUACAUAGACCAAUGGACAGAAUUGAGAGUCCAGACAUGAAUUCAUCCACCUAUGAGCAGCUGAUAUUUGACAAGGGCUGCUGGGGAAAAGACAGUCUCUUUAACAAAUGGUGCUGGCGUAACUGGAUAUCCAUCUGCAAAAAAAUGAAACAAGACCCAUACCUCACAUCAUGCACAAAAACUAACUCAAAAUGGAUCAAAGACCUAAAUAUAAAAUCUAAAACAAUAAAGAUCAUGGAAGAAAAAAAAGGGACAACAACAGGAGCCCUAAUACACAGCAUAAACAGUAUAUAAAACAUUACUAACAGUGCACAAACACCAGAAGAGGAACUAGAUAACUGGGAGCUCCUAAAAAUAAAACACUUAUGCUCCUCCAAAGACUUCACCAAAAGAGUAAAAAGACAACAUACAGGCUGGGAAAAAUUUUUGGCUACGACAAAUUCGAUCAGCACCUAAUCUCUGAAAUCUACAAGAUUGGGUAAAGGAGAUAAAAAGAUACUUCUCCAAAGAAGACAUUCAGGCGGUUAACAGGUACAUGAGGAAAUGUUCACAAUCAUUAGGCUUUAGAGAAAUGCAAAUCAAAACUACGAUGAGAUACCAUCUCACCCCAACAAGGCUGGCAUUAAUCUAAAAAAUACAAAAUAGUAAAUGUUGGAGAAGAUGUGGAGAGACUGGAACACUUAUACGCUGCUGGUGGGAAUGUCAAACGGUACAACCACUUAGGAAAUUGAUUUGGUGCUUCCUUCAAAAGCUAGAAAUAGAACUGUCGUACAAUCCAGCAGUCCCACUCGUUGGACUAUAUCCUAGAGAAAUAAAAGCCUUCACACCAAUAGAUACAUGCACACCCAUGUUCACUGCAGCACUGCUUACAAUAGCAAAGAGAUAGAAACAACCAAGGUGCCCAUCAACAGAAGAAUGGAUAAAUAAAUUAUGGUAUAUUCACAUGACGACAUACUAGGCAACGAUAAAGAACAAUGAUGAAUCCAGGAAACAUCUCAUAACAUGGAGGAAUCUAGAAGGCAUUAUGCUGAGUGAAAUCAGUCAGUUGCAAAAGAACAAAUAUUGCAUGAGACCACUAUUAUAAGAACUCAAGAAAAGGUUUAAACAUGAGGGUGGGGAGGGAGGGUGAGGGGUAUGCAGUAAUUAGAUAGCAAACAAGAAUUAUUUUAGAUAAAAGGAAGAGGAAGCCAGCACAACUAGACUAAUCUAAAAGCUAAGAAGUUUCCUGAACACAACCAAACACUUCGAGGGACAUAGUAGCACAGGUGGGGGUCUGGGGAAUAUAGUUUCAGGGGACAUCUAGAUCAACUGGCAUAAUAAAGUGUAUUAAGAAAACGUUCCGCAUCCCACUUUGGUGAGUGCCAUCUGGGGUCUUAAAAGUUAGCAAGCAGCCAUCUAAGAUGCAUCAGUUGAUCUCAACCCACCCGGAGCAAAGGAGAAUGAAGCACACCAAAGACACAAGGGAUAUAUGAGCCCAAAAGAAAGAAAGGACCACAUAAACCAGAGACUCCAUCAGCCUGAGACCGGAAGGCCUAGAUGGUACCCAAUUACCACUAAUGACUUCCCUGACAAGGUACACAACAGAAAAUCCCCGAUGGAGCAGGAGAACAGUGGGAUGCAGACCUCAAAUUCUAGUAAAAAGACCAGACUUCAUGGUCUGACUGAGACUGGAGGGUUCCCGGAGGUCAUGGCCUCCAGACUCUCUGUUAGCCCAAAACUAAAACCAUUCCUGGAGCCAACACUUCAAACAAAGAUUAGACUGGACUAUAAGACAUAAAAUGAUACAGGUGAGGAGUGUGCUCCUUAGCUCAAGUAGACACAUGAGAGUAUGUGGGCAACUCCUGUCUGGAGGUGAGAUGAGAAGGCAGAGGGGGACAGGUGCUGGUUGGAUGGACAGGAGAAAUAGAGGGUGGAGAGAAGGAGUGUGCUGUCACAUUGUAGGGAGAGCAACUGGGGUCACAUAACAAUGUGUGUAUAAGUUUUUGUAUGAGAAACUGACUUGAACGGUAAACUUUCACUUAAAGCACGAUAAAAAAAAAAAAAAGAA